AAUAACUAAUGAAGAAUCACUAUAGGAUAGAGAAGGCAGUAUAUUCUCAGCAAGCCGAGAGAGCUGAGAGCCCGAACUCUUUCGGCUCAAAUGUUGAUUCGCUGCAUCAUCAUUCUCUUCUCGGAAGUUACUUAAGGUCUUCAAUGUGUCAGAAGACAGCACCCGGCAUGUAACUGUUUUUCGGCUCAAAUAUUGAUUCGCUGCAUCAUCAUUCUCUUCUCGGAAGUUACUUAAGGUCUUCAAUGUGUCGGAAGACAGCACCCGGCAUGUAACUUUGGCAUGCUAAUCUCUCUAAGUUCGGAGC
rnacentral:lncRNA from 1 species